rnacentral:lncRNA from 1 species
CAUAAGGCAAUAAUCUUUUGAAAAUUUUAAGAGCCGACCCCAAGCAUUAAGAGCCGACCUCGACAUGCCUGAGAAGAUUGGUGCAAUCCAUGAGUUGAUCAUAUCAGAAAUGUGUUGACCAUAGCGUAGUCUCAAGGUGCACACAGAGAGCUGUGAAGCAUGACCCACUUAUAAGUUGACCUCGGAGCUUAAUGAGUCGACCCC